UGUUAGCAAUAGUGCUACCAUUAUGUCACAAAGUGGUAUUGUAAUGAUAUUGCUUCAGCAAUUCAAAUUCUGUUCUUAAUCUGAUUUCUGUUCUGACUGCAACUUAGUGACAUUAAGAUUGUUCUAAAAAUCAUAUAGAUCCUUCCCUGGAUUUUUCAAACGCAAUGGAAAAAACCGAAGUCAACCUUUAGAAGACCAGCAAAUGUUGUGAAGACGUGGAAGCCACUUGAAGUACCAUUUUUCUUGCUUGGUUCAAAAACGGACACAACCCCAUCCAUAUCUGCCGAGCUGGAGCUCAUGCAAGCAGGGCUGGGAAAGAGGGCGUUGUCUAUCACAUCUGACUUAACGCAUGCAGAGUUAUCCAGUUCACUAAGGACAACAUAUCCGAAGAUGAAUGAUCUUCAAGACAGAUGGCUUCUUUUCAAAGCAGCAGGCGGAAAUGGAAGGAGAAAACUGUCUGCAAUCGCAUUAGAGGCAGAGGGAUACACUGGUUCUGUCAUCAAAAGAGCCUCAGGUGGAG